AGACACCACCCCAGCCAGCAUGGCCGGCAGGAGCGCACCGCGCUGUCUCCCUCCAGGGAUCCGCACCGCCCUACAAUCCUGCUUUGUGCUGAGAUUGUAGUCCUGCAGGCGUACAACUAACAAGCUGGGUGCAGAUAAGAGACUACAGCUCCCCGCAUCCCAAGCAAAGGUCCCUCCUCUACGGAGCCCCUCCACGCGUCCACUGCGGUUCCGCCGUGCCAAGGGGAGCUUGGCUGUUCACGGGCCUCACCUGCUAGCGAGAAGAUAGCUUGGCCGGGCGGCUGAUCUCACCUUGUAAUUCUGACACUGUGUCUCCCGGGCUUGUCGGCUUCAUGACUUGUGCCCAAAGUUUGAUUUCUCGCAGACCAGGAGGACCCAUUGGACCCCCGGGCUGGCUGCAGGGCCCACACCUGGGUUAGACCUCGCACAGGGACGCUGCUGCCACUGUAAUAAAGCGUGCCUACACGCUUCUGAAACUGGUGUAGGAACAACCUCAGUUCUGUGAAAGGCGGACGCAGCAGGACAGAAUCUCCGUGGACAUCUGUCUGGAGGAGCAAUUUUACUGCGACAUUUUAAAGAAACAAAUUUAAUUGAUUUCCAAGGUAAGAAAUUAAACCUUGAAAACUAAACUGAAAAGUCAUCUGUGUUUGACAAGUCAGACUUUCUCCAAGAAGAAAACUAAGGAGUGCAUAUUUUCCAUUAUUAUAAAUAGUGAAAAUGAGAAAUCAUAGCAACUCCCUGGAAAAUCUUGCUCUGCCAGUUUUCUAAAUCACAGUAGGGCCUCGAUAUGGUUUUAUUUGUUUUUGUUUUUGUUUUGGAGUGUGUUCACCUUUUGAAUAUAAGAAUUUGCGGUUUUGACCAAGUUUUUAAAUUUUCAGCUAUUGUUUAUUUGUUUUUGUAUUAUAUUUAAUUUUUCUGUCUCUCCCUCUCUGUCUCAGACUCAAUCAUUUCACAGGUCUCUUAGGCCUCUUUUCAUUUUCUUUAAACUUGUUUCAGUCUUCAGAUUGGAUGGUUUAUAUUGCUGUCUUCUGUUUCUACUCUGUAAACUAAAAGUUCUUUUUAUUUUAUUAUUUUAUUGUCUUCUAUUUUACUCUUUUUAUAAUUUCCAUGUCUCUGCUGAGACUCUACAUGAGUUAAUUCAUUAUGAGAAUAUUUUCCUUUACCCCCAUGAACGUACUUAUAAUAGCUGCCCUGAAAUACUUGUCUGCUGAUUACAUCAUCUCGGACAUCUUAGAAAUAGCUUCUGCUGCCUGCUUUUUAUCUUGUGUAUAGUUUGCAUGUUACAUUUCUUCACACAUUUUAUGAAUUUUAAUAUUGUGUAAUAGAAAUUAUAAAUAUUAGUUAUAGAGACUAAAUUCUGUUGUAUUCUUUGGAAGAGCAUUGUUAUUAUUUGAAGAGGGGGUAAAUGUGGCUGAAUUCAAACAGAAUAAUUAUCUUCCCUACGGUGGGAAAGGUUGAAAUUCUCAUUCAGUCACACACACGUAUGUAUGUAUUGUAUAUAGAUGAAUGUUUCUAUGUAACUAUAUAUAAUAUUUUAUCCAGAUUGUAUCAUUGUUAUCUGUGAGAGUGUUAGUUUAGCAAGCUACUCCAGUAUUACCGGAAGCCAGAACUUCAGUUUUGUUUUCUUACUGGAUUUUAUGUAAAUGAGAGUAUCUACUAUGGAUAGUUUUACACCUACUUUUUCUUUUUUUCUUUUUUAGUUAUUUGAGACAGAGUCUCGCUCUGUCACCAGGCUGUACAGUGCCGUGGCCUGUCUCGGCUCACUGCAACCUCCACCUCCUGGGUUCAAGCGAUUCUUAUGCCUCAGCCUCCCAAGUAUCUGGGACUACAGGCAUGCGCCACCACGCCCAGCUGAUUUUUGUAUUUUUAGUAGAGACGGGGUUUCACCAUGUUGACCAGGAUGGUCUCAAUCUCUUGACCUCGUUAUCCGGCUGCCUCCUCCUCCCAAAGUGCUGGGAUUACAGGCGUGAGCCACCAUGCCUGGCCACAUCUACUUUUUUAAAUGUGUCAUUAUAUUUGUGAUAUUGUCAUGAUGUUUUCUACUUAUAUUUUAUUCAAAAAUUUUAUACUUUAAGUUCUUACCUUUAGGUCUUUGAUGCAUUUUUAUUUGUUUAUGGUGUAGGGUAAAUGUUCAACUUCAUCCUUUUGCUUGUGGAUAUCCAUUUUUUCCCAGCACCAAUUGUUAUAAAGACAGUCCUUUGCCCAUUGAACGGUCUUUGUAUCCCCAUCAAAAAUUAUUUGACCAUAUGCUGCUUUAUACUGUUCCAGUGUCCAUAUGUGUGUCUCUUUGCCAGUACCACACUAUUUUGGAACUUUGUAUUAAGCUUUGGAAUGAAUAAGUGUACAUUUUGUAACACUGGACUUCUUUUUCAAGAUAAUUUUGACUCAUUGGGGUCCCUUGAGAUUCCAUAUGAAAUUUAGGUAGGAUUUUUCUAUUUCUGCAAAAUAGAAUUUUUUGCUUUUUUUGUUACUCCCGACGUAUUUUAUUCUUUUCAGUGCUAUUGUAAAUGUGCUUGUUUGCUUAGUUUUGUUUUCUAAUUAUUCAUCAUUACUGUAUAGAAACACAAGUGAUAUUUGCAUGUUAAUUUUGUAUGCUGCUACUAUGCUGAAUUUAUUAGUUGUAAUACUUUUUGUGUGGAUCUGUGAAAUCUCUAGAGCUUUCCACAUAAAAUUAUAUUAUCUGUAGGCUAGAGUAAUUUUACCUCUACAUUUCCAAUUUGGAUAGUUUGUUUCUUUUUAAUUCUUAAUUUGACUAGAACUUCCAACACUAUGUGGAAUAGAAAUAGCAAAAGCAGACACCUUUGCCUUGUUCCUGAGCUUAGAGCAGAAGCUUUUUGUCUUUCACCCUGGAGUACAUUGUUUGAUGUGGUUUUUUAAUGUGUGGAUUUCACAAUGGUAGUAUUUUAGUUUUAAAAUUCCUACUUUUUUGAGUGUUUUCACCCUGAAAAGAUUUUGAAUUUCAUAAAAUACUUUUCUCUGCAUCCAUGAGGUGAUCAAUGUUUCUUUUAUUUUGUUAAUGUGUACACAUUGAUCAAUUUUUAUAUGUUAAAAAAUUCAUGUUUUAAGAUAUCCUUGCAUUCUAAGAAUAAAUUGCACUUGGUC
rnacentral:lncRNA from 10 species